rnacentral:rRNA from 1 species
GACGAACGCUGGCGGCGUGCCUAAUACAUGCAAGUUGAGCGCUGAAGGUUGGUACUUGUACCAACUGGAUGAGCAGCGAACGGGUGAGUAACGCGUGGGGAAUCUGCCUUUGAGCGGGGGACAACAUUUGGAAACGAAUGCUAAUACCGCAUAAAAACUUUAAACACAAGUUUUAAGUUUGAAAGAUGCAAUUGCAUCACUCAAAGAUGAUCCCGCGUUGUAUUAGCUAGUUGGUGAGGUAAAGGCUCACCAAGGCGAUGAUACAUAGCCGACCUGAGAGGGUGAUCGGCCACAUUGGGACUGAGACACGGCCCAAACUCCUACGGGAGGCAGCAGUAGGGAAUCUUCGGCAAUGGACGAAAGUCUGACCGAGCAACGCCGCGUGAGUGAAGAAGGGUUUCGGAUCGUAAAACUCGGUUGGUAGAGAAGAACGUUGGUGAGAGUGGAAAGCUCAUCAAGUGACGGUAACUACCCAAAAAGGGACGGCUAACUACGUG